CUUUUGAAUGGUAAUAAGUUUGCCAUUUGCCAUCGUCUCUCAGAGUUAGUGCACUUUCAUUAGUGCUGGCAGUAAACUGGCACAGCUUCAGUGUCUGUGGCACUCAAAGGACUCUGGUCAGGUAAGCGCUCUCACCUGGGCUCUGGCCACAUAUACAUGCCUGGCACGGAUCUUCACCACCAUCAUCACCACAGGAGACGCACAAGUUCUCAUCCGGUUUGUUGUCAUGAACAAGUGGGUCACAGUCACAGUCAUCUACUACAAACCUCAUGCAGUGAAACAGGAUUAAGGGGAUGCUUUCUGCAUACAGUUUUUCUCUAUGUA